rnacentral:rRNA from 1 species
AUACGGAGGGGGUUAGCGUUGUUCGGAAUUACUGGGCGUAAAGCGCACGUAGGCGGAUUGGAAAGUUGGGGGUGAAAUCCCAGGGCUCAACCCUGGAACUGCCUCCAAAACUAACAGUCUAGAGUUCGAGAGAGGUGAGUGGAAUUCCAAGUGUGGAGGUGAAAUUCGUAGAUAUUUGGAGGAACACCAGUGGCGAAGGCGGCUCACUGGCUCGAUACUGACGCUGAGGUGCGAAAGCGUGGGGAGCAAACAGGAGUAGAAACCCUUGUAGUCC